AGAGUUUGAUCCUGGCUCAGGAUGAACGCCUUUGGCGUGCUUAACACAUGCAAGUCGAACGAAGCGCCUUGGACAGAUUCUUCGGAUGAAGUCUUUGGUGACUGAGUGGCGGACGGGUGAGUAACGCGUGGGUAACCUGCCUCAUACAGGGGGAUAACAGUUAGAAAUGGCUGCUAAUACCGCAUAAGCGCACGGUACUGCAUGGUACAGUGUGAAAAACUCCGGUGGUAUGAGAUGGACCCGCGUUGGAUUUGCUAGUUGGCAGGGUAACGGCCUACCAAGGCGACCAUCCAUAGCCGGCCGGGGAGGGUGGGGGGCCACAUUGGGAGUGAGACGCGGCCCAGACUCGUGCGGGAGGCAGCAGUGGGGAAUAUUGCACAAUGGGGGAAACCCUGAUGCAGCGACGCCGCGUGAGCGAAGAAGUAUUUCGGUAUGUAAAGCUCUAUCAGCAGGGAAGAAAAUGACGGUACCUGACUAAGAAGCCCCGGCUAACUACGUGCCAGCAGCCGCGGUAAUACGUAGGGGGCAAGCGUUAUCCGGAUUUACUGGGUGUAAAGGGAGCGUAGACGGCAUGGCAAGCCAGAUGUGAAAGCCCGGGGCUCAACCCCGGGACUGCAUUUGGAACUGUCAGGCUAGAGUGUCGGAGAGGAAAGCGGAAUUCCUAGUGUAGCGGUGAAAUGCGUAGAUAUUAGGAGGAACACCAGUGGCGAAGGCGGCUUUCUGGACGAUGACUGACGUUGAGGCUCGAAAGCGUGGGGAGCAAACAGGAUUAGAUACCCUGGUAGUCCACGCCGUAAACG
rnacentral:rRNA from 1 species